AUUGAACGCUGGCGGAAUGCUUUACACAUGCAAGUCGAACGGCAGCACGGACUUCGGUCUGGUGGCGAGUGGCGAACGGGUGAGUAAUGUAUCGGAACGUGCCCAGUCGUGGGGGAUAACGUAGUGAAAAUUACGCUAAUACCGCAUACGAUCUAUGGAUGAAAGCGGGGGAUCGCAAGACCUCGCGCGAUUGGAGCGGCCGAUAUCAGAUUAGGUAGUUGGUGGGGUAAAGGCCCACCAAGCCAACGAACUGUAGCUGGUCUGAGAGGACGACCAGCCAAACGUGAACUGAGACACGGUCCAGACUCCUACGGGAGGCAGCAGUGGGGAAUUUUGAACAAUGGGCGAAAGCCUGAUCCAGCCAUUCCGCGUGCAGGAUGAAGGCCCUCGGGUUGUAAACUGCUUUUGUACAGAACGAAAAGGUUUCUACUAAUACUAGGAGCUCAUGACGGUACUGUAAGAAUAAGCACCGGCUAACUACGUGCCAGCCGCCGCCGUAA
rnacentral:rRNA from 1 species